UGAAUUGGCAGAUUAGUGCACUAAAUUUAGGUUUUAGAUAUGUGUUACACAUUCAGUA
rnacentral:tRNA from 1 species